CUUCCUAUUAUCUUGGCACACCUCGGUGUAAAAACUGUCAAGUGCUGCCUCUAAUAUGAAGUCCGAACUCCUGCCUUUUUCAGGAGCCCCCAUAACAUGGCUCUAGCCAUAUCCAACCUGUUUUGACCUCUCUGGACCGCAUAACUUCAGUUUUGGUAGACUUAGAUUUGUUUAUUCUUAUCUUUUGCACUUACUAUGCAUACAGCUCUCAAUGGCCCUCCUUCCUCAUCUUCAAGACCAAGUUCAUUUCUCUUCUUAUGAAAGAGAUCCUUUAUUUACCCCUCCAGGUCUGCUCUCCAUCCUUUGACCUUGACCUCUAUGCAGAUGGCUGAUGGACUACAUUGAUAGAUCCCCGUGACCGCUAGCUGUCAAUUAUGUUUGACGAAAAGGAAGCCCAGGCAGAAGAUGGGAAAGGAAGAGAGAAGAGGAUUUCUUCUGUCCGCUGAUGGACAACAAAUGGAUUAAAGGACUCAUUCAAAAGACAGAACAGGCCGAGCUCAUGCCUGUAAUCCCAGCACUUUGGGAGGCUGAGGCAGGCCGAUGACUUGAGGUCAGGAGUUCGAGAGCAGCCUGGCCAACAUGGUGAAACCCUGGCUCUACUAAAAAUAAAAAAAUUAGCUCUGUGUGGUGGCACGUGCCUGUAAUCCCAGCUACUUGGAAGGCUGAGGCACGAGAAUCACUUGAACCCAGGAGGCAGAGGUUGCAGUGAGCCAAGGACACACUACUGCACUCCAGCCUGGGUGAUGGAGUGAGACUCUGUCUCAAAAAAUAAAAAAAUAAAAAGUAAAAAUAAAAAGACAGAACAGAUUAUGAUUAGUGUCUUUAAAU
rnacentral:lncRNA from 1 species